GUGCUCACUUUGGCAACACAUAUACUAAAAUUGGAAUGAUACAGAGAAGAUUAGCAUGGCCCCUCUGCAAGGAUGACAUGCAAAUUCAUGGAGCAUUCCAUAUUUUU
ensembl:snRNA U6 U6 spliceosomal RNA